AUACGGAAGGUCCGGGCGUUAUCCGGAUUUAUUGGGUUUAAAGGGAGCGUAGGCCGGAGAUUAAGCGUGUUGUGAAAUGUAGGUGCUCAACAUCUGAACUGCAGCGCGAACUGGUUUCCUUGAGUACGCACAAAGUGGGCGGAAUUCGUGGUGUAGCGGUGAAAUGCUUAGAUAUCACGAAGAACUCCGAUUGCGAAGGCAGCUCACUGGAGCGCAACUGACGCUGAAGCUCGAAAGUGCGGGUAUCGAACAGGAUUAGAUACCCUGGUAGUCCGCACGGUAAACGAUGGAUGCCCGCUGUUGGUCUGAAUAGGUCAGCGGCCAAGCGAAAGCAUUAAGCAUCCCACCUGGGGAGUACGCCGGCAACGGUGAAACUCAAAGGAAUUGACGGGGGCCCGCACAAGCGGAGGAACAUGUGGUUUAAUUCGAUGAUACGCGAGGAACCUUACCCGGGCUUGAAUUGCAGAGGAAGGAUUUGGAGACAAUGACGCCCUUCGGGGCCUCUGUGAAGGUGCUGCAUGGUUGUCGUCAGCUCGUGCCGUGAGGUGUCGGCUUAAGUGCCAUAACGAGCGCAACCCCUCUCCUUAGUUGCCAUCAGGUGAAGCUGGGCACUCUGGGGACACUGCCACCGUAAGGUGUGAGGAAGGUGGGGAUGACGUCAAAUCAGCACGGCCCUUACGUCCGGGGCUACACACGUGUUACAAUGGCAGGUACAGAGAGACGGUCCCUUGCAAAACGGAUCAAAUCCUUAAAGCCUGUCUCAGUUCGGACUGUGGUCUGCAACCCGACCCCACGAAGCUGGAUUCGCUAGUAAUCGCGCAUCAGCCAUGGCGCGGUGAAUACGUUCCCGGGCCUUGUACACACCGCCCGUCAAGCCAUGAAAGCCGGGGGCGCCUAAAGUCCGUGACCGUAAGGAGCGGCCUAGGGCGAAACUGGUAAUUGGGGCU
rnacentral:rRNA from 1 species